UACGUAGGGACCAAGCGUUGUUCGGAUUUACUGGGCGUAAAGGGCGCGUAGGCGGCUUGACAAGUCACUUGUGAAAUCUCCGGGCUUAACUCGGAACGGCCAAGUGAAACUGUCAUGCUAGAGUGCAGAAGGGGCAAUCGGAAUUCUUGGUGUAGCGGUGAAAUGCGUAGAUAUCAAGAGGAACACCUGAGGUGAAGACGGGUUGCUGGGCUGAUACUGACGCUGAGGCGCGAAAGCCAGGGGAGCAAACGGG
rnacentral:rRNA from 1 species